GCGGAAAGUCAAAUGUGAAAGUCUCCCUUCACGAAUCUCACAGCCAACCAUUAAUAAUUAGAUUUGUAUCCUUUAACAUUUUUUUUCUAUGUACAUACAGGCAUUUGAAAUAAAAGAGCCCUUCAUGUUAUGUCUGUUACAGAACCAGGAAGAUCCUGAUAAAGACACUGCACUCCACCCAGAUUCCCUUGGAGUCUAUGCGCUGUUUCUGGGCUCAUCCUCCAGCCUCAGUGUGUUUGCUGGGAAGAAAAAGAUACAUUAUGUCAUUCUUCUGAUUAUGAAUUUAAUUAAAAUCCUGAUUCCUGGAUGGUAUCGUGGGCCUAUUGAAUGA
rnacentral:lncRNA from 1 species